GAUGAACGCUGGCGGCGUGCCUAAUACAUGCAAGUCGAGCGAACGGACGAUAAGCUUUCUCCCCUGAUGUUAGCGGCGGACGGGUGAGUAACACGUGCAUAACCUUCUUCUAAUACUGGGAUAACUUCGUGAAACCGGUUCUAAUACCAGCGCAUAUUUUGUACCGCAUGGUUCAAAAGUGAUUGACGGUCUUGCUGUCACUUUUAGAUGGUGCCGCGUUGGAUUAGCUAGUUGGUAAGGUAACGGCCAACCAAGGCAACGAUGCCUAGCCGAACUGAGAGGGUGAUCAGCCACACUGGAACUGAGACACGGUCCAGACUCCUACGGGAGGCAGCAGUGGGGAAUAUUGCGCAAUGGGCGGAAGCCUGAUCGAGCCACACCGCGUGGGUGAAGAAGGUCUUCGGGUUGUAAAACCCUUUUAUUGGGGAAGAACAUAUGUGUAAGUAACUGUGCACAUCCUGACGGUACCUAAUCAGAAAGCCACGGCUAACUACGUG
rnacentral:rRNA from 1 species